CACAGCUCUGAACAGGAAAAGCUUGGAUGCACUUCCAGGGUCAAAGGUCGUUUGAGGACAAGCAGAGAGGAAGCACAGAGGACUGGACCAUUUUUCACUGAGCACUGAGUCCGCUGAGCAGAUGAAGCAAAGGAAGCAGGACAAUCGAGCUCAUCCUGCAACCGCUCAGCAGAGGUGAUGGGCCUCACUCCUGCUGUCCUGGCUGCUUGACUCACUGCAUCAGAGAGGGAGAGGAGGCUUCCACCACCCUGUCCUGUCUGAAAACACACACACAUACACCUUGAAGAAGGGGGAACAGCAGCAGCCCAGGUCUCUGACUCUCCAGCAGACUCCUCACUCACUCCCUCGGCUCCUGCCGCCGCCAUGUCGCCACCUA